rnacentral:sRNA from 1 species
GCUGGGCGUGGUGGCGCGCUCCUGUAGUCCCAGCUACUCGGGAGGCUAAGGUGGGAGGAUCUCUUGAGUCCAGGAGAUCUGGGCUGCGGUGCGCUAUGCCGAUCGGGUGUUCGCACUAAAUUCGGCAUCAAUAUGGUGACCUCCCCGGAGCGGGGGACCACCAGGUUGCCUAAGGAGGGGUGAACCGGCCCAGGUCAGAAUAAAUUCAUGUUGUCAUCAUUUUUGUUACAGUGAAAAUAGGAAAUUAAUACAAUCAGCAACAUAGUAACCUAACA